rnacentral:SRP_RNA from 1 species
UCUCGGUGGAAGUGGGUGGCCAGCAGGUCGCGCGCCAUGGCAAGGUGGUGUUGGGGGAGAUGGCUGCGGCCGGGUCGACGCGCACCAGGUCUGGAACGGUGCUGGCCAAAGUCCCCACAUGGGUUGCUGUGUUGCACCGCCCGGUGUUGGAGGCUCU